CCAAUAUCACAGGCAGAAUUUCAUCGAAAAGUGUUACAGUAUGACGGAGCUGGAGCUGUAGAGAAGCUCAUUGCCCCAAAGAAAUCCUAGCAGGGGAGCAACAACUUAGCUCUUGGGGGGGAGCGAAAAGGGGUGUGUAUGUGUGGGAAAUAGAGAGGAGCGAGAAGAAGGAAAGAAGAGGCACCUCUAGUGAACAUAAGAACUCAAUAUAGAUCUUAGAAAAAGCUUUAACUGUCUUUUGAAGAAGCACAACUAAUUUUUCCUCCUGGAAGACCAAUCAGUGAUCUCUUGGCACAACCCUGUUGUUGCCCUGCUGAAAGGGAACUGUACUUCAGCAUAUAUUGGGGACAGGAGCAAUUAAAUGAGAAACUUCCUCACACUGAAAGAAUCUCUUGUGAAAGUGCUCUCCUCCAGCGAAGACAAGAGAGAAGGUGGCUUCUGGUGGGGCUGGGUGAAAACCAGGCUGCUCUCAUGACUUAAGAAAUCAGCAUCAUUGACUUUCCAGUUUGGCUGGUGGCUUUGAGGGGACUUCCUACACAAGGGAUUGGAUACCAAGCCUGGCUUGACUGAAGAGAUAUCUCUGUGUUUGUGUGUGUUUAUGUGUGUGGUGGUGGUGGUGGGGGGGCAAGCUAGAUUCCUCCUGCUCUCUGGCUCUCAGAUAGGUUACUUUAGAAAGAUGCACAAAGCCAAAAAAAAAUUAUAUGGUUCAAGAAAAAGUGACUAGAAAACCUGGGGGGGGGGGGAAUCCACAGAGUUGAAGCACUCUGCUGCUGUUUUGGCUCCUCAUCCUCGGGCACAUUUCCUGCAUAGCAACGGUUGAAUAAAAGGAAGGUAAGGGCUGCUGUUUAGGCUGUGAGAGGCGGUUGGUUCCCAGGCUUUAUCCAGUUCCACCUAUCUGUACACCUACGGUUGCAAUCGGAAUAUCUAGCCAUUGUGAAAUUUCUAUGGCGGAUCGAUACCCUGGGAGACUGGUUCUGUUGUGCAAAAGACGAGGUGUAAACAGAUGAAUAGAGCUGCCAGCUCCAGGCUUGUGGUUUUCCAGAGAUGUUUUUAAAGUCUUCCUAGCGUCUUCCUAAUAAAUUGA